GGAACCCUAGCGGAACCCCGCGUGGGAGCAGGUGCUCUCGUGGAUUGCGAAGUCCUUGGCCUUCUUCCGGUUACCUGGGGCAUCCGCGCGACGGAAUCAUACUGAGCUGCAUUCGCUGCGGCGACGCGGAAGAGGCGCAUGCGUGUGCCCUGGACUUGGGCAAGAUAACAGGGGACCACUCCAACUUUAUGGGUUCAUUGAAAAACCUAAGCCACAAGAAUGAUGUUCGCUGAUGGGCCGGAGAUAAACCGUGUUUGUGACGGAUUGGCUUUAACUCUGAACCCCAAUAGUACGAGAGACGAUAUUGCAAACUAAAAAAUAAGACUUUAAUUGGCUUGACCUUUGGUACCGUCAUUGUUUCUUCUUAGGAAUGGUUCAGGGCUGGGAAAAUAGCUCAGAGAUACAGCUCUUGUCUGGCGUAGUUAAGGCUCUGGAUUCCAUCAACAACACCGUUCAAAAAUUAAGAAAAGAAAUGAGUAUUCGGGCUGGUGAAAUGGCUCAGUGGGUAAGAGCACUGACUGCUCUUCCAAAGGUACGGAGUUCAAUUCCCAGCAAUCACAUGGUGGGUGGCUCACAACCACCCAUAAUGAGAUAUGAUGCCCUCCCUCUUCUAGUGUGUCUAAAGACAGUGUACUUACAUAUAAUAAUAAAUAAAUCUUUUUUU
rnacentral:lncRNA from 1 species